rnacentral:rRNA from 1 species
GACGAACGCUGGCGGCGUGCUUAACACAUGCAAGUCGAACGGAAAGGCCUGCUUUCCCUUGUGGAUUGCGGGUACUCGAGUGGCGAACGGGUGAGUAACACGUGAGUGAUCUGCCCCCAACUUGGGUAUAAGCCUGGGAAACUGUGUCUAAUUCCCGAUAGUACUGCAGGGUGGUGCCUGUGGUGGCACACGAUUUUCUAGUGGUUGGGGAUGAGCUCGCGGCCUAUCAGCUUGUUGGUGGGGUAGUGGCCUACCAAGGCGGCGACGGGUAGCCGGACUGGGAGGGGGGACAGUGACACUGGGACUGGGAUAAGGCCCAGACGCGAAGGGGAGGCAGGAGUGGGGCAUAUUGGAGCAUAAGCGGGAGCCUGAUGCAGCGACGCCGUGAGGAAGAUGUCGGGCUUCGAGAUGUAUACUCCUUUCGAAGAAGAGGAAGCCACCUGGUUGGAAGGGUGGUGACGGUAGUGGUAGAAGAAGCACCGGCUAACUACGUG